AACGUGGUUAAUGAUGCAUCUUUUUUUCCCCGUCUUAUCGACCAUGGUGAAAACCGUCUGACAAUAAGCCAAACUUGACUGAAACCACUUU